rnacentral:tRNA from 1 species
UCCAUGAUGGCCGAGAAAUUUAGGCAUCGAGCUUUUAACUCGAUUACAGUUUUACUAAACUUCAGGAU